AGCAGUAGCCGCGGUAAUACGAAGGGGGCUAGCGUUGUUCGGAAUUACUGGGCGUAAAGGGCGCGUAGGCGGCCAUUCAAGUUAGAUGUGAAAGCCCUGGGCUCAACCUAGGAAUUGCAUUUGAUACUGUUUGGCUUGAGUUCGGGAGAGGUGAGUGGAAUUCCCAGUGUAGAGGUGAAAUUCGUAGAUAUUGGGAAGAACACCAGUGGCGAAGGCGGCUCACUGGACCGACACUGACGUUGAGGCGCGAAAGUGUGGGGAGCAAGCAGGAUUAGAUACCCGUGUAGUCCCUGUCUCUUAUAC
rnacentral:rRNA from 1 species